GGAUGGCGCUGGUGGGGGCUGGAUGCGCCCACGGCUCGCCCUCUCUCUCUCUCUCUCUCUCUCUCUCUCUCUCUCUCCCGUUAAAUCACACGGUAUAACACGCGAGCGGACGGAGACUGGCGGUGACAGCACCCGGGGCAAAGUGAAAGAGCAGCAGAAAGCAUUGAAGAGGUCCCCACAUGAAAGACGCAGGGCUUCUUAAUCAACUUUUAUUCGACAGAGGAUGCCAAAGGACGCUUUGGACACGCUCGCAUGUCCUUAACUACUUCAAACUAAAUCCAAGGAGCUAAAAAAAGACAAACAAAUAGCCAACCGCUGGCUCCAGCAAGAGGACAGACUUUUAAAGUAAAAUCACAGCUGGAGAGGGGGAGGGUUAUAUGGGUGCCGAAUCCCCAUCCAAGACCCCUCGCAUCUCCUGGAUCUCCCUCAGCCGCCUCCCUCCUCCUCCUCCUCCUCCUCCUCCUCCUCCCUCUGUUCCAUCCUCUGCUCGUCACUCAUUCUCCCUCGUUCUCUCUCAUGGGAGUGACAUAGAGGCCGUCGUUUGGUCUGCUACCCCGCCCCUUCCCUGCCUCGUCGUGGAAACGGGGGCGUCCAGGUAGUGAUGUCGUGGAAGAGGAACUACUUUGCGUCAGGUGGCGGAGCGGCAGGCGGGGUGCAGGGGCUGGUGACCCCGAGGACCAUGACCUCUAUUGCACCCAGCAAAGGCCUGAGCAACGAGCCGGGACAGAACAGCUGCUUCCUCAACAGCGCUCUGCAGGUACUGUGGCAUCUCGACAUCUUCCGCAGAAGCUUCCGACAGUUGACCACACACAAGUGUAUGGAGGACUCGUGUAUCUUCUGCGCGUUGAAGAGUAUCUUUGCUCAGUUCCAGUUCAGCAGCGAGCGUGUGUUACCAUCAGAUGCACUGCGGAGCGCUUUGGCCAAGACUUUCCAAGACGAACAACGCUUUCAGCUGGGUAUCAUGGACGACGCUGCAGAGUGCUUCGAGAACCUCUUGAUGCGUAUCCACUUCCACAUCAGUGCCGAGAGCAGAGAGGACAUCUGCACGGCCAAACACUGCAUACCACACCAGAAGUUUGCCAUGACUCUGUUUGAACAGUGUGUGUGUACCAGCUGUGGAGCCACUUCAGACCCCUUGCCCUUCAUUCAGAUGGUUCAUUACAUCUCCACUACAUCCCUCUGUAACCAGGCGGUGAGGAUGCUGGAGUGCAGAGAGAAACCCACACCGGACAUGUUUGGAGAGCUGCUCCGCAAUGCCAGCAACAUGGGAGACCUGCGCAACUGUCCUAGUAACUGUGGGGAGGUGCUGCGUAUCCGCCGGGUGCUCAUGAACUCACCGGAGAUCGUUUCCAUCGGGCUGGUGUGGGAUUCAGACCACUCGGACCUGGCGGAGGACGUCAUACACAGCCUCGGGACCUGCCUGCGUCUGGGCGACUUGUUCUACCGUGUGACAGAGGAGAGGGCUCGCCAGGCGGAGCUCUACUUGGUGGGCAUGGUGUGCUACUACGGCAAGCACUACUCCACCUUCUUCUUCCAGACCAAGAUACGCAAGUGGAUGUACUUCGACGACGCCCACGUCAAAGAGAUCGGCCCAAAGUGGAAGGACGUGGUAUCCCGCUGUAUCAAAGGCCACUAUCAGCCCCUGCUGCUGCUCUAUGCUGACCCCCGUGGGACGCCGGUGAUACUGCAGGAGAGCCCCAACCCCUGUAGCAGCUCCAACCCGCAGCUGGAGCUCCAGCACUGCAGCAGCAGCAGCAAAGCCGGCUACGACAGCGAGGACUCCGGUCGGGAGCCAUCCAUAUCCAGUGAUACUCGUACCGACUCUUCAACAGACAGCUCCAGUCACAGAGCCUCCCGCAGCAGACCCCUCCACCAGUCCACGGGCAGCCACCUCUCCAGCGAAUCGCAGACCACUGUUGUCUGUAACUACGACACCGGCACCCCGCCGCACAGUGCCGACGCCGGAGAGUCAGCGGUGGAGGGUCCUCCCCGUCCUCCCUCUCCUCCCCUGCCGGAGUACAAGGAGACGGCCGUCUUCCUCCUCUCGUCCCGCCGGCCGCUCACGUCCUCCUCCUCCUCCUCUCGGCCUCUGUCCUCCUCCUCGUCGUCAGGGGUGGGGGGCUGCGAGGGAGGAGCAGGAGGGCCCCACUGGGAGGAUGAGAGCACCAGCAGUGAGAGCAAGUCCAGUUCUUCUGGAGGCCGCUACAGGCCCACCUGGAGGCCCAGAAGAGAGGCCCUGAACAUCGACAGCAUCUUCACCCGACCGAGAGGCUCCUCUCUGGGCUACAGCACCCUGCCGGGUCCCUCUCUCCCUCCCGAGCCCCAGGACUCUCUUCCACCAGCAGGACCCGCUCCUGCACCCACACAGCCUGGGUUACAAGAGGCAGGCGGGAGGGGGACUGGGGAGUUGGAGGCGGGGUUUGGGCUGGUCGGGCAGCCCAGGUCUCUUGGCAGCGGGCGGACAAUGGGUCCCCCUGCCCCUCCACCUCUGCGAGGGGUGGAGCACCAGCCGCGUCUGAUUCAGAGGAUGGAGAGUGGCUACGAGAGCAGCGAGAGGAACAGCAGCAGCCCUGACAGGGAGGUGGGGCAACAGAAACGGGUGCUGAUGUCAGGACCUUCGUGGCGUUCGGUUCCCAAAUCAAAGAGCAGCAGCGCCAUCCUGCAGGAGCUGCCCUCCCCGAGCUGGGUUGGCGGCACUAACUCAGGCUCAGGGCGGAGCGAGCUGGACGAGCUGCAGGAGGAGGUGGCGAGGAGAGCUCGUCAGCAGGAGCAGCAGAAGCGGAAGGAGGCGGAGCGGGAAGCAGCCAUGGGAUUUAACCCCAAACCCAGCAAAUACAUGGACCUGGACCAGCUCCAACACCAGGCUGUGCUCAGACCCCUGCAUGAGGCUAGCGCUCAUAGUGGAUUGGCUGUAGCUGCGUGCAUGAGGAGCACUGGGGGCCCAAUCAAACGCGGGCAGGAACAGGAAAUGGAACGGGAGACAGGAAGCGCCCGUCCGCAGGGUCCUCACAGUGAACAGCCUGGCCCGGUCCAAGUACUGCUGACGCCCAAUCAGGAGGAGGAAGAGGACCAGGCUACGCCCAACCAGGACGCUGCUCUGGGCCAGGACCCACCUCCUCCACCCUAUCGGCCCCCGCUCACCCUCAGCAUCCCUCACCCGUGCGCCCCUUCCUGCCAAGGAGAGGAGGAAGAGGAGGAGGAAGGUGGAUGCGUGGGAAGGAGAGGGGAGGAAGGCGAGGACCGGAAUGAGGGGACAGGGGUGAGGCUGUGCGAGCUGCUGCAGGCAGGGGGGGUGAGUGUCAGACCUCUGGGGAAGCACUUAGCCAUCUCUCUGCCGUCGCUUCCUCUACGUCUCUGGGAUACACACGUCACACAUGCCGCACACCACACACACCUAGAACCCACACACACACACCCUCCCCUCCCCACCUCCAAUCCUCCCCCAUCUGCCCCUCUGGAAGCCUCGGGGCAAAGAAAACCUCUUGCGCCUCUGUGGCAGCCCCCCCAGCCCCAAUCCCCCUCGGGCGCCGCGCAGCAUUGGCCUCUGCAGGGAGCCGCCGCUGACAGCGGGACGCGUCAUUGGUCCUCCUGGAGUUUGGACCGUCCCGAUGCUGUGGUGACGCCGUAUGACACGCCCCCAGACCGCUGCGUCCCCAUCAGGCCGCAGACAUCCAGCCCGCACUACAGCUUCAGUUGCCAGUCCUCUCCAGGGCACUACAGCUCCCAGCAUGCCCCAGGGCAACACAGAGAUGCCUUCUGUGACCGGGAAGAGGCUGAGCUGUCGGAACUUGACUCUCUUUACCAGGCCAGUCUGCUGGCUGGAAGAACAGGUUGCAGCCCCUCAGAGAGGCUCAUAUCCAGGGUGGGAGGGCAAGGUCGCUCCAAGACCCCCAACGCAGACAUGGAGAGGAGCGUGUACGGGGCAGACUGCACCAGCACCCCCACCUACCUCAACAAGCCAAUGAUGUUGCGGGAUCUGCGUUUGGGGGCGGAGCCUGAUGAUGGGGAGAACCUGAGACGAAUUGGACGCAGCCUGAGUGGCACAGUAGUGACCCCGCGCAGCAGCCGCCUGACUGCAACCCGCAGCUUUGUGAAGCAGGCUGAUGUCAGUGCCUCGCCUUGCUUACUUCCUCUCUUCUGAGUCCCUGUUGCUAUUCCACCACUAUCAUCUCCUUCAUCCUCCUCAUCACCAACACCUUCUCAUCACCACCUCCCUCCACCGCUUCACAGGAGCUGUCUGGCGGUGCAGGGAGUUUCUGGCUGUGUUUGACGGGGGUCAAGCUCUCCUCUGACCAGAGUCCCGCUCUGCUUCACUAACAUCACCCCGUCCAGGCUCAAAGAGGGGCCAGCGGCUAAGGGGUUCUCUACAGCCCCGCUAUGACGGACCUGGAAUCGGGCCAGGAGGAUCAAACUAACCUCCAACCUGCUCCUCCUCCUCCUCCUCCUCCUCCUCCUC